rnacentral:rRNA from 1 species
AGAACGAACGCUGGCGGCAUGCCUAAUACAUGCAAGUCGAACGAACACUUCGGUGUUAGUGGCGCACGGGUGCGUAACGCGUGGGAAUCUGCCCUUGGGUUCGGAAUAACAGUUGGAAACGACUGCUAAUACCGGAUGAUGACGAAAGUCCAAAGAUUUAUCGCCCAGGGAUGAGCCCGCGUAGGAUUAGCUAGUUGGUGAGGUAAAGGCUCACCAAGGCGACGAUCCUUAGCUGGUCUGAGAGGAUGAUCGAGCCACACGUGGGACUG